rnacentral:rRNA from 1 species
UACGGAGGGGGCUAGCGUUGUUCGGAAUUACUGGGCGUAAAGCGCGCGUAGGCGGCUUGACAAGUUGGAGGUGAAAGCCCGGAGCUCAACUUCGGAAUUGCCUUCAAGACUGUCUCGCUCGAGGCAGGGAGAGGAGAGCGGAAUACCCAGUGUAGAGGUGAAAUUCGUAGAUAUUGGGUGGAACACCGGUGGCGAAGGCGGCUCUCUGGCCAUUACUGACACUGAGGUGCGAAAGCGUGGGUAGCAAACAGG